rnacentral:lncRNA from 1 species
UUGAUCUCCUGACCUCGUGAUCCACCCUCCUUGGCCUCCCAAAGUGCUGGGAUUAAGGCAGAAAAUGGCCAAUCCACACUGAAUUAGUAUGUAAGCAAUAUCAUAAUUGCAGCAGAAUGAUGAAUAAAUACUUCCAUUGAGGAUAAAGAUGGAGCACCUUCUGAAGUUUGUCAAUAAGAAAAUUUCAAUACAGCAGGUACAGAGGGAAGACCAUGUGAAGGCACAGGAAGAAGCCAGCUACCUGGAAGCCAUGGAGAGAGGCCUCAGAAGAAACCAACCUUGUGGACACCCUGACCUCAGACUUCCAGCCUCCAGAACUGUGAGGAAAUACAUUUCUGUUGUUUAACUCACCUAGCCUUUGAUACACUGUAUAGU